rfam:Colletotrichum sublineola strain TX430BB Scaffolds1144.1, whole genome shotgun sequence.
GUCUCUGUGGCUCAGUUGGAAGAGCGUUGGUCUCAUAUCACAUCAAUAUGACUCUUGAUCAUCAAGGGACAUCCAAAGGUCGCAAGUUCGAGCCUUGCCAGGGACA